UACGGGGGAUGCAAGCGUUAUCCGGAUUUAUUGGGUUUAAAGGGUGCGUAGGCUGUGAGGUAAGUCAGCGGUGAAAUGCCCCCGCUCAACGGGGUAAAGUGCCAUUGAUACUGCCUUGCUGGAAUGCGGAUGCCGUGGGAGGAAUGUGUGGUGUAGCGGUGAAAUGCAUAGAUAUCACACAGAACACCGAUUGCGAAGGCAUCUCACGAAUCCGCUAUUGACGCUGAUGCACGAAAGCGUGGGUAUCAAACAGG
rnacentral:rRNA from 1 species